rnacentral:snRNA from 1 species
GUGCUCGCUUCAGUAGCACAUGUACUAAAAUUGGGACGAUACAGAGACAGUUAGCAUGGCCCCUGUGCAACGAUGACAUGCAAAUUCCUGAAGCAUUCCAUGUUUUC